GUUUUCUCUGCCCAGGAUGACUGUUUUAAGGCCUGAAGACACUUCUAGAGCCAUCCCCUGAGUCACCAGCCUCCAUGUUUCUGCCAGAAAAAGCUGUUGUAUCACAUCCAGAGCCAGGAGCUGUUGCCUCGCACUGGGGCAGACUGGACUCUAGUCCCUCAUAAACGCAGUGUCUGCCCAGCAAUAUCCUGCCAGGAAGGAGAGAAGUUCCUAGGCACUGCCAAGUAUCAAACAUCGAGAGCGUGUCCCAUCGAGACAAGGCCACACGGCAGCAUCCAUGUGUGGGCACAGCCACUGAGUCCUUCCUACAGGCAGUCUGAAUUCAGCUGAUCACACACUGAGAGCCGUGUCUAUCAACAUACUGUGAAUGGUGGACCCAGGCCCAAGCACUGUAUACUGCCAAACGCAUCAGUACCAAACGCAAGGGUGGUGGAAUCACUCCUUGUUACUGCUGAUGUUACACCACAGAAUAACAGAAGUGUUGAUUGGAAGGACCAGCUUUGGAGACAUGUUGCCUUAAAGGGUAAGGCAGAUCUUAACUUCCUUUGACAACCUGGACCUGGUUCCUUUCUUUAUUAGCCACCCUUACAAACAGCUGAAGGCUGUAGCACGGAGGAUCAGCAGUACUACAAGGUCUCUAGGAGUCCCUGUUGUGUCAGUCACUAAGGAUGCAGACAUACAGUGGCAUGCCUCUCUGCCCAGCUGCAACAGAAAGAGCCCAAUUCAAUGCUAACCCUUAAGCAAAUAGUGCGCUGACCUCCCAGUUAAUAGAGUGGCCCUUCUUGCUUAUUUUAUUCCCAGCAUUUGAACCACAGCACAUUCCAGUUGGGUAAAAAGACUUUGCUGUUUGGAGCAUACUGGAGUCAGGUGGUGAGCAUACCAACCGCCAGACAGGAUGCUGUGCUUCCUGUGAGAGUAAAUACUGAAAGUCAUGCAGAGCAUCUUUCAUUCUGGCUUGGCCGCAACAGCCAGUACAGCCGCUGGAAAGGAAGGGACUUCACAGAGACAGAGAGAUUAUUCUCUUCUGGCUUAGAGACUACCUGGCCUUUUAAUCAUCUUUGAAAGCCUGUCUUUUAAAGGCUGCUCACUUUGUUGACACAAUGUGCACCCGCAAACCCCCAUCUGCUGGGAGCUUGCAGUCUCCCUCAGGGAUCUGCCAUG